UGUGUGUGUGUGUGUGUGUGUGUGUGUGUGUGUGUGUGUGUGUGUGUGUGUGUGUGUGUGUGUGUUUGUGCACUUGACUUUAGGAAGAGCUGAGGAGCAGGCAUCUGUGUUCACUGUUAUCUACACUGGAAGAACUUGAGAUUGACAGUGGAUGCUCUGAAAUACACAUCACCUCAGAAUGACUGCUAAACACAGACCAGCUCAAGACUGAUCUUCAGAAAUGAUCAAAUCAAUAACAAGUCUGAAGUCAGAGAGUUAGUCUGGGCCCCUUUCAAGUGUCUGUUUUUCUUCUGCUGGGGUGUGAGAGGCUCUUGUUUUAUGUCAUGUCUUGUGCCGAAGUCUGUGGGACUCCAAAGGGACUCUCACCUGUGUGAGGAGAAGCUGUGAACCCAUCAAACCGACAGGGAGCUUUGUGAAGACAGGCAUGAAGCAGACUGCACCCACAGCACACGUCACGGCCCGUUAGGAGAAGCCGAACGCACUAAAGAGGUUAAACUGCAGCGCCUGGCAGAGGCAAUUUUAUUGAUAACCAUUUGAAGCCUUUUUUUCCCGCCCGUCUCCGAGCCUUACGUGCCAUCACGCUUUUCUGUCUUUAUUCCGUUUGCCACUCUCAACUGACUUCAAAUGUGGGAAGCCUCUCCCUCCGACAGAAAAGAAGCUGCAGUUGCCUCUUUCCCGCUGUCUCAGCCGUGAAGAUCUGCAUUCUGAUCUGGCAGACAGUCGUCGGCAAAUUCCCACAUCUCUCUGAUCUGCUCAGGCGCUCCAUCAUUUCCUCGUCAGCCCCUGGUCCCUGCCCUGGCCUGAAGUCAUCGCUCAGUUAGGCAGCUGGCAGGCCGGCCCUGAGGGUCCCCAGUGGGGAGUGAGGAGUCAAGGGUUGGUCACU
ensembl:lncRNA